rnacentral:rRNA from 1 species
GGUCAAGUGAAGAAGCGCAUACGGUGGAUGCCUUGGCAGUCAGAGGCGAUGAAAGACGUGGUAGCCUGCGAAAAGCUUCGGGGAGUCGGCAAACAGACUUUGAUCCGGAGAUCUCUGAAUGGGGGAACCCACCUAGGAUAACCUAGGUAUCUUGUACUGAAUCCAUAGGUGCAAGAGGCGAACCAGGGGAACUGAAACAUCUAAGUACCCUGAGGAAAAGAAAUCAACCGAGAUUCCCUUAGUAGUGGCGAGCGAACGGGGAUUAGCCCUUAAGCUUCAUUGAUUUUAGCGGAACGCUCUGGAAAGUGCGGCCAUAGUGGGUGAUAGCCCCGUACGCGAAAGGAUCUUUGAAGUGAAAUCGAGUAGGACGGAGCACGAGAAACUUUGUCUGAACAUGGGGGGACCAUCCUCCAAGGCUAAAUACUACUGACUGACCGAUAGUGAACCAGUACCGUGAGGGAAAGGCGAAAAGAACCCCGGAGAGGGGAGUGAAAUAGAACCUGAAACCGUAUGCGUACAAGCAGUGGGAGCCUACUUGUUAGGUGACUGCGUACCUUUUGUAUAAUGGGUCAGCGACUUAUAUUCAGUGGCAAGCUUAACCGUAUAGGGUAGGCGUAGCGAAAGCGAGUCUUAAUAGGGCGUUUAGUCGCUGGGUAUAGACCCGAAACCGGGCGAUCUAUCCAUGAGCAGGUUGAAGGUUAGGUAACACUGACUGGAGGACCGAACCCACUCCCGUUGAAAAGGUAGGGGAUGACUUGUGGAUCGGAGUGAAAGGCUAAUCAAGCUCGGAGAUAGCUGGUUCUCCUCGAAAGCUAUUUAGGUAGCGCCUCAUGUAUCACUCUGGGGGGUAGAGCACUGUUUCGGCUAGGGGGUCAUCCCGACUUACCAAACCGAUGCAAACUCCGAAUACCCAGAAGUGCCGAGCAUGGGAGACACACGGCGGGUGCUAACGUCCGUCGUGAAAAGGGAAACAACCCAGACCGCCAGCUAAGGUCCCAAAGUUGUGGUUAAGUGGUAAACGAUGUGGGAAGGCUUAGACAGCUAGGAGGUUGGCUUAGAAGCAGCCAUCCUUUAAAGAAAGCGUAAUAGCUCACUAGUCGAGUCGGCCUGCGCGGAAGAUGUAACGGGGCUCAAACCACACACCGAAGCUGCGGGUGUCACGCAAGUGACGCGGUAGAGGAGCGUUCUGUAAGCCUGUGAAGGUGAGUUGAGAAGCUUGCUGGAGGUAUCAGAAGUGCGAAUGCUGACAUGAGUAACGACAAUGGGUGUGAAAAACACCCACGCCGAAAGACCAAGGGUUCCUGCGCAACGUUAAUCGACGCAGGGUUAGUCGGUUCCUAAGGCGAGGCUGAAAAGCGUAGUCGAUGGGAAACAGGUUAAUAUUCCUGUACUUCUGGUUACUGCGAUGGAGGGACGGAGAAGGCUAGGCCAGCUUGGCGUUGGUUGUCCAAGUUUAAGGUGGUAGGCUGAAAUCUUAGGUAAAUCCGGGGUUUCAAGGCCGAGAGCUGAUGACGAGUCGUCUUUUAGAUGACGAAGUGGUUGAUGCCAUGCUUCCAAGAAAAGCUUCUAAGCUUCAGGUAACCAGGAACCGUACCCCAAACCGACACAGGUGGUCGGGUAGAGAAUACCAAGGCGCUUGAGAGAACUCGGGUGAAGGAACUAGGCAAAAUGGCACCGUAACUUCGGGAGAAGGUGCGCCGGCUAGGGUGAAGGAUUUACUCCGUAAGCUCUGGCUGGUCGAAGAUACCAGGCCGCUGCGACUGUUUAUUAAAAACACAGCACUCUGCAAACACGAAAGUGGACGUAUAGGGUGUGACGCCUGCCCGGUGCCGGAAGGUUAAUUGAUGGGGUUAGCGCAAGCGAAGCUCUUGAUCGAAGCCCCGGUAAACGGCGGCCGUAACUAUAACGGUCCUAAGGUAGCGAAAUUCCUUGUCGGGUAAGUUCCGACCUGCACGAAUGGCGUAACGAUGGCGGCGCUGUCUCCACCCGAGACUCAGUGAAAUUGAAAUCGCUGUGAAGAUGCA